GAUUUAGGAUGGGUUCAGGGAAUGAAGAAACAGAUGAUGAGAGGAUCAAGGAGAAGAGGAGUGUAUUAAAACUCAGAAUAUGAUAGCAGAGGUACAAAAAUUGCAUUACUGAGCAUAAUGGGGAAUUAAAACAUUCCAGAUGUCGCAGACUGUGAUGAACUAUGGGAAGAAAUGCAUCCUAAGGAUCGAGGCAACGUGAAGACAGCCAGUCACUGUAGUUGCAAACGUGAUUUUAAUAACUCAGGAAAGGCACAAAGGAGCAGGAAAGAUUCGUUUCCUGCCAAAAAGUGUCCUUUUGACAUAUAAAAAAGGAGAGCAUCAACAUCAAGGCUUUAUAUCCUGGAAGUCUUUGUCAGUUCAUAAACUGGAGGCCUGUGUGAAGUGGAUAAAAAUAGUCGUCUCAGACACAGUCUGGAAAGUGCCUGCCCUUCAUCUGUGCACACAGAGAUGACGCCCGGCUGCAAAUCGAUGCGCUGAACCUGACCCCAGUGCUCAGGUGGGAGCCCUGUUUACACAGACCAUUGUUAUGAGCGUGGACAGUGUGCCUGAGCUAAAGCUCAAAGAUUAUUGCUUCAGUUACUCACACACAAGAGAUAUGAAGCACGUGACAGGGUAGAGAGCUGAUAUUAUAUUCCUCGAGGGUAGAGUUUUUAAACUGUUUUUCCACACUUUUAUUUUGUGUAACCGUUUGUAUCCCCGACGUGUCACCUGGAGUGCUAAAGCAUUUGGUCCCUGUGGAGGAGAAUCACCGAACUAUUGCAGAUGGCCUGGCUUGAUAAACUUCUUUGUCGAUUAAUCUGUUGCAAAUGCCCUCGGUCUUCUGAAUGGCUUUUCCUCUGGCAGCCCUGCGAUAGUUCCCUACGGCUCCAGGAUGGAACAAUCCUGGGCAGUAAAGAGAUUGAGAUAAUGACAGUCCAUGGUGACAGCAGGGCUGGCAGAGCCAGCCUGGGGGAAGAAAGACACAUACUUGCCAAUAGAAAUACCUCCAUCCUUUGGGAAUUGUAGCUUGGGAAUCAAAGCUGACCUCAUAAGCAAGACGGAUGGAGAACAAGCUUUUGAUUUAUGACUGGAUGAAGCUCAAAGUCUGCCCUUCUGAUCCUUCUUUACAACACACCUUUUGUAUUUUAUAUGAGCUCUUUCACUUUAUUCUCAGAAUGUUAUCUCCUGGGGUAUCGUUUUUAAGUCUUUCAGGGUUGUAAUAUUUCACUCAUCUCCUUCAUAGUAGUUAGUUUUUGUUUUUUAAUGAAGCUAAAAUCCCCUUUUAGUAUCACAAGUAAACUGUCAUUAUAUUUAACGUGACUGAUCAGCUGCUUUUUUUAUUUUUUUUUUUUUUUUCCUGAGUUUUAUGAAAGCUGAACCCAUAUUUACCUUCUAGACCGCAGCUAGGGAAUUCCAUUUGCAUUCACUGGUGCCUUGGUUGCUUCACAUACUUACUUGCACUUGAAUAUGAAAAAAAAAUUGCAUUUUUGGUGCUGGAAUUUAUGGGUCAGAUCCUUGGUAAAUGUUGAGCUCUGCUGAGUUUAAUGAAGCUGCGCUGCUUUUCACCACCACUCUCUAAUGAAGGCAUCCACUGGAGUGAUUGUAACUCUGUGUCCCUCUCCUGGGAAUUCCGCUCUCUCCUACCUGCUCGCUUUGCCUUAGAGCCUUUAAACUGAACUGUGAAUUCUCUGAAAGUUUUAAAAAUAUGAAUCUGGGUCGAAAUCUUUUGAGUUUGUUCUUGUGCAGCUCAUCAAUUAUUCCUGUUUUCCAAAUCUUAGCCAUGCCCUCUGUGACACAGAAAGGGGAUAAAAAGCAUUUCUGUGCCUUUUCUAGAUGGGAAGGACUGUGACAGCGCAAGAUCAAGUGCAGCUCUCUGCAAGGGAACGUUCUGUGCAUCAGCCCUGCGGUAUCUGCAUUUGGGGUGUUUGUAUUUCCACUUAUCUGUCAGUCUGUCUGUCAUCUGCCUCCCUGUCCCCCUGACUUAUGUGGCUGUUGACAAAUACCCUCCAUUGGCGAUUAAAAGGAAGUGACCUCAUCGGUUUGUCUUUGCAACCACAAAGGUUCGGUUGUAACGUGACAUUCCAUCCUAUUGCUCUGGUUUACACCAAAUUCAACAGCUUGUGGCCUGCAGAUACUCAGGAUAAAGAGCAGAAAGAGACUGACCUUGACAACCUCAUUUCUCAUUCCUUUCUUGUUAUAGGUAAUAUAGCUGAAAAUGUGGUUUUAAUUAUAGUACUAAUGAAAACUGAAAAUCCAGACAGACACUUGACAAACUCUGGUACGCCUUAUAUUACAUUUGUGCUAACUACAAAGUAUCCAGCUGGGUGUAACAUUAUAUCUCUUUUCCUUGAGCAUCCGCCUGACUUAAGCUGUAUAAUUAAUGUGUACUUUGGCUGCAGGUCAGCUUACAGUUGGUUUUUUAGAAUUUUUACAUUUUUUAAGAUGUUGUAAUGAAAGGAAUAUGUUUAUUACCUCUGUGCCUGCGUUCCCCACAGGGAUUUAGUACCUGUGGAGGAGCACCGGCUGGGAGGACGUGAAUCGAAUGCCUCUGCCAGCUGAGCCUGACGCAUCAGAAGCCUGCUUUCAAAAGUGGGCGUAAGAAACAGAAUCAAAGGAUGUCAUGUCCACAGAUGUGUUUCACUUUGAUUCACCUCCUCUGUAUGGUUUGUUGAUUUUAAGUUACGACACCAAUACACAAUCGCCCAAAGUAGAAUUUGCGAAGGGAUUUAUUUCUUUUCUUUUUUCUUUGGAAAGAAUUUUGUUUUCAGAACUCACCAACGAGAAACUGAUGUUCUCAGCUAGAGCCAGAAACACUAAAAGCAGGUUCCCUGCCAAGCCCCACCAGUGCACCUUCAUCCUGACCUGUCUUAACUCUGCUAUUCCAGUCAGGCAUCUGACUGCACCAGCAUGUGCGUGUAAUCGUGUUAAAUAAAAUCCCGGGUUUCACGAUAUGGACAAAUGCUCUCCUGGGACUGGACUGAAAUUAGCUUUGAAGGAGUUUUAUUCUGAUGUAAGGCAAAGCUGAAACUGGGUUACAAAUGAUAAAAAUCUGAAUACUUGCGUUACACUGCUGUUCUCAAGGACCUGCUGUGGAACCCAGAAUUUUUCUUAACAAAAGCAUUAGUGUGUUUCUCAUGCCAAACUUCCAAAAAAACAUUUCUGACAUAAAAGGAAAUAGCUGCAGUGCAACCACAUUCACAGCAGGGACCACAAGGUGUUACUUGUAAAAAUGAAUGCAUAAUGAUUUUCAAAUGAACUUUUCUGGCAUGUUCCUGUAGCCAGUAAUGUGGUUUGAUGUUUUUGUGAGUGCACAAAGCUCAUAUCUCCAUAACCUAUCUGCAGCUGUGCUCUCAACUUGUUUGGGGAUACAGAUCAUCUGAGGCAAGUUUGAUUUUUCUCUAACAGCCUCAAAUUGUUUCUGCUUUCUGCCAAACAUGGAUGUGAAAAAAAAGCCUCUUAUGAAGAAUUAUUCACGAGCAGCUUUGCUGAUGUUUAUAACUGAGUUUUGAGAGACAAUCUGAGUCCAACUGGUCAAAAGAUCUCCCCAAAAGACUGUAGCAGCAGGUGAUUGUUUUUUAAAACUGCCUUUCUAAAAAGGAUUGCUGGGUAGAGGCCCUUGAAGCCUGUAACGUGUUCUGGAAGAAAUUUUGGAAGACAUAAUGCUAAAGAGAUACAUUUCC